rnacentral:tRNA from 1 species
CGGGGUGUGGCUCAGUUUGGCUAGAGCACUUGAUUUGGGAUCAAGGGGUCGGGAGUUCGAAUCUCUUCACCCCGACCA